rnacentral:rRNA from 1 species
GAUGAACGCUGGCGGCGUGCUUAACACAUGCAAGUCGAGCGGGGAAUUAUAAGAGCUUGCUCUUAUAAAACUUAGCGGCGGACGGGUGAGUAACGCGUGAGUAACCUGCCCUAUACACAGGGAUAACAUUGAGAAAUUGAUGCUAAUACCUGAUAAGCUAACGAUAAGGCAUCUUAAGGUUAGAAAAUGAAAGUGGUAUAGGAGGGGCUCGCGUCUGAUUAGCUAGUUGGUGGGGUAAAGGCGUACCAAGGCGACGAUCAGUAGCCGACCUGAGAGGGUGAACGGCCACAUUGGAACUGAGAGACGGUCCAA